rnacentral:rRNA from 1 species
CAUCUAGGCGGUCAAUCAAGUCGAAGGUAGAAACUUGUGGCUCAACCAUAAGCUUGCCUACGAAACUGAUUAACUAGAGUACUGGAGAGGUGGACGGAACUACACGAGUAGAGGUGAAAUUCGUAGAUAUGUGUAGGAAUGCCGAUGAUGAAGAUAGUUCACUGGACAGAAACUGACGCUGAAGUGCGAAAGCUAGGGGAGCAAACA